rnacentral:rRNA from 1 species
UGGGGAAUAUUGGACAAUGGGGGAAACCCUGAUCCAGCAAUGCCGCGUGAGUGAAGAAGGCCUUAGGGUUGUAAAGCUCUUUCGCCCGCGAAGAUAAUGACGGUAGCGGGAGAAGAAGCCCCGGCUAACUCCGUGCCAGCAGCCGCGGUAAUACGGAGGGGGCUAGCGUUGUUCGGAAUUACUGGGCGUAAAGCGUACGUAGGCGGAUGCGCAAGUUGGGGGUGAAAUCCCGGGGCUUAACCUCGGAAUUGCCCUCAAAACUGCACGUCUUGAGACCGAGAGAGGUAAGGGGAAUUCCUAGUGUAGAGGUGAAAUUCGUAGAUAUUAGGAAGAACACCAGUGGCGAAGGCGCCUUACUGACUCGGUACUGACGCUGAGGUACGAAAGCGUGGGGA